rnacentral:telomerase_RNA from 1 species
CGCCGAUGACAGAUUCAUCUCUUAUCCUGCCCGACCUUCCAUCUCACGGUGCUGUUUGACAGCACCGCCAACUCCCUGGCAGCAGAAGCACUUCUCCUUCCCCCGACACACACACGCCAUCACGACAACGCAGCAUUCAACCCGUCUUCGAUCUUGCGCCCGCCCCUUUUUCACACCACUCUUCACCCUCCCACCAUCUCCUCUUCUCUUACCUCCUAUUGUCUCUUCAACAACCAGCUCGCAUUUUUUUCUGCGGCAGAUACUUCCGUCUCCCUCUUAGGAGCAUACCUUGACUAUGCUUUUUGAGCUGUGUCGGUAUCUCUGAUUGGGAUCUUGAUGGAAGUGGUUUUCUUCGGAGAAGUGCGGGUGAAGGGGAAGUGAGGAAGAGAAAAGGAGCAGUGGGUCAUGCGUUGGAAGCGGUGGAAAUGGGGGUAGCCAGCUACCAAGGCUCCAAAGUGGUGCAAGACGAUCCUAACCCUAAGUUGAUACCUUGCAGAGUGGGGAUGUUCACCGUUCCCAUAGAAAUCGCUUUUUUUGCGAAUUGGUCCUUGGGAAAGGCAUGUCUUCCUUUUUCGAACGUUGCAAGAUCUUCCGUCCAAUUGUCGCUUACUUCGUCCGUUUCAUGUCUUUUCAAAGUCUUGCGAGAUGAAGGAGAGACUUGCAGUUGAAGAGUAAGCGAUGGUGUCUGGAACGGAUUGUUCUGUAAACGUUCCUCUGCUAAACCUCGUUCGUUAGCGUAUCUUUUCACCCCUCAUCCUAUCUCGAUAGCGAUACCGGGGGUUGGAUUGAUACUCUUUCGAAACCUCUCCAUUCCGGAUCUCAUUCUCCCUAUCUUAACCUCUUUUACGGUAACCGGAUAAGGGGGGAUGACAGAGAUGGUUUUUUUGCGUUCCAGUUCUACACUUUUUUUCCAUCUCCAAAAAAAGGAGAAGGACGAAUGCCCGUUGGAUACGGUCUUGGUGUGUUUGUUGCGUUACGGGUCUGGAAAGGCUUCUUUGGAUGCCGUAGGGAAGAGUCAAGGUAUAAGGGAUCUGGGUUUUCUCGAGGCGAUCAAUUUCCCAUCCUAACGGACCUCUUGCUCCUCCUUCCGUCUCUGGAAUCCCUCCCGUCAACCCUCGAACGACCGAAAAAUCAAGCACGUCUCCACGGAGAUGCCUCCUUUGGAAGGGGCUUUGGUGCUGGUAGAGCUUUGCGCUCGUCCUUUUCGUCAUUUGGUGGGACGCAUGGCGAGACUAUCAGAGCAAAGGGAGGAGCGAGGAAGAGCCGGCGUGGACGGGAAAGUCAAAUUUUUCUCUCUUUCGGAUUG